CUAACGUACGGUACCGACAAGGAGCCGCCUAGGGUAAAACUGGUGACUGGGGCU
rnacentral:rRNA from 1 species